GAUGAACGCUGGCGGCGUGCCUAAUACAUGCAAGUCGAGCGAACGGACGAGAAGCUUGCUUCUCUGAUGUUAGCGGCGGACGGGUGAGUAACACGUGGAUAACCUACCUAUAAGACUGGGAUAACUUCGGGAAACCGGAGCUAAUACCGGAUAAUAUUUUGAACCGCAUGGUUCAAAAGUGAAAGACGGUCUUGCUGUCACUUAUAGAUGGAUCCGCGCUGCAUUAGCUAGUUGGUAAGGUAACGGCUUACCAAGGCAACGAUGCAUAGCCGACCUGAGAGGGUGAUCGGCCACACUGGAACUGAGACAAGGUCCAGACUCCUACGGGAGGCAGCAGUAGGGAAUCUUCCGCAAUGGGCGAAAGCCUGACGGAGCAACGCCGCGUGAGUGAUGAAGGUCUUCGGAUCGUAAAACUCUGUUAUUAGGGAAGAACAUAUGUGUAAGUAACUGUGCACAUCUUGACGGUACCUAAUCAGAAAGCCACGGCUAACUACGUG
rnacentral:rRNA from 1 species